rnacentral:rRNA from 1 species
UACGGAGGGUGCAAGCGUUAUUCGGAAUUACUAGGUGUAAAGGGCGCGUAGGUGGUUUGUUAAGUCAAGUGUGAAAUCUAACAGCUUAACUGUUAGCCUGCAUUUGAAACUGGCAGACUUGAGUAUAAGAGGGGAAAAUGGAAUUCCUGGUGUAGCGGUGAAAUGCGUAGAUACCAGGAGGAACACCAGUGGCGAAAGCGGUUUUCUGGCUUAUAACUGACACUGAGGCGCGAAAGCUAGGGGAG